rnacentral:lncRNA from 1 species
AGAGGGACGCCAUUUGUUUUCAUGAUGACUUUGGUAUAUUACAGCUUACCAACAUUGUUGCAUACACGUGUAAUUUUCCCUUCUAGCUUUAACAAUCUGUUUUCCAAUAGGUCUGUGGUGCUGGAGUACUACUUACUCUAAGAAACAUUUUCAAACAUAGAAAACGUCUAUCUAACAACUAUGGUGAUCUCUGAGUAUUUGAAAUCCUAUGCCAAGUUCAGCCCUUUGCUGUUCUGUUGGUAUCAUCUAUGGAAGAAUUCAUGAGUCUUAAAGAAUUAGAAAAUGGGAGCUAUUUCAGUGGAUGACACGUAAGACUAGAACAUCAAGAGUGGGAGAGUAUCCAUUCAACUACAGACUUGCCUGGAGCGUGUCUCUCUCUCUGCUGUCUGGUCAUUGCCCAAGGGAAGACUGCAGUUUGGGAUAAGAUCUGCUCUCUAACAAACUUAUCUCGUGUGGGGAUGAUGUCUCUGAGGUUGUGCCUCUGCAAGGCCACUCACUUUACCAUGCUGAGUCCAAGAGAAGACUUCCAAUUGAUUGCCAGGUAACUCCAAAUGCUUUCAUAUCUUCUAGUGCCAAAUUAAUUCUGGUAUUGGAAAU